GACGUAGGGCGCGAGCGUUGUCCGGAUUUAUUGGGCGUGAAGAGCUCGUAGGCGGUUUGUCGCGUCGUCCGUGAAAACUCACAGCUUAACUGUGAGCUUGCGGUCGAUACGGGCAGGCUAGAGUUCGGUAGGGGAGACUGGAAUUCCUGGUGUAGCGGUGAAAUGCGUAGAUAUCAAGUGGAACACCAGUGGCGAAGGCGAGUCUCUGGACAUUUCCUGACGCUGAGGCACGAAAGCCAGGGGAGCAAACGGG
rnacentral:rRNA from 1 species